rnacentral:rRNA from 1 species
GGCUGGAGUUGGUCCCAAGGGUUGGGCUGUUCGCCCAUUAAAGCGGUACGCGAGCUGGGUUCAGAACGUCGUGAGACAGUUCGGUCCCUAUCCGCUGCGCGCGUUAAGACUUGAGAAAGUCCUGUCCCUAGUACGAGAGGACCGGGAUGGACGAACCUCUGGUGUGCCAGUUGUACCGCCAGGUGCAUGGCUGGUUGGCUAUGUUCGGAAAGGAUAACCGCUGAAAGCAUCUAAGCGGGAAGCCUGCUUUAAGAUGAGGUCUUUUAGGUUCCCAGCAGACUACUGGGUAGAUAGGCCAGAAGUGUACACGUUGUAAAACGCAAAGCUGACUGGUACUAAACAACCAUUAAAAAACAAA